GAUGAACGCUGGCGGCGUGCCUAAUACAUGCAAGUCGAGCGAACAGACGAGGAGCUUGCUCCUCUGACGUUAGCGGCGGACGGGUGAGUAACACGUGGAUAACCUACCUAUAAGACUGGGAUAACUUCGGGAAACCGGAGCUAAUACCGGAUAAUAUAUUGAACCGCAUGGUUCAAUAGUGAAAGACGGUUUUGCUGUCACUUUUAGACGGUUCCGCGCCGCAUUAGCUAGUUGGUAAGGUAACGGCUUACCAAGGCAACGAUGCGUAGCCGACCUGAGAGGGUGAUCGGCCACACUGGAACUGAGACACGGUCCAGACUCCUACGGGAGGCAGCAGUAGGGAAUCUUCCGCAAUGGGCGAAAGCCUGACGGAGCAACGCCGCGUGAGUGAUGAAGGUCUUCGGAUCGUAAAACUCUGUUAUUAGGGAAGAACAAAUGUGUAAGUAACUAUGCACGUCUUGACGGUACCUAAUCAGAAAGCCACGGCUAACUACGUG
rnacentral:rRNA from 1 species